rnacentral:rRNA from 1 species
UUAAGCGACUAAGCGUACACGGUGGAUGCCCUGGCAGUCAGAGGCGAUGAAGGACGUGCUAAUCUGCGAAAAGCGUCGGUAAGGUGAUAUGAACCGUUAUAACCGGCGAUGUCCGAAUGGGGAAACCCAGUGCAAUUCGUUGCACUAUCGUUAACUGAAUACAUAGGUUAACGAGGCGAACCGGGGGAACUGAAACAUCUAAGUACCCCGAGGAAAAGAAAUCAACCGAGAUUCCCCCAGUAGCGGCGAGCGAACGGGGAGCAGCCCAGAGUCUGAAUCAGCUUGUGUGUUAGUGGAACGGUCUGGAAAGUCCGACGGUACAGGGUGAUAGUCCCGUACACCAAAAUGCACAGGUUGUGAACUCGAAGAGUAGGGCGGGACACGUGGUAUCCUGUCUGAAUAUGGGGGGACCAUCCUCCAAGGCUAAAUACUCCUGACUGACCGAUAGUGAACCAGUACCGUGAGGGAAAGGCGAAAAGAACCCCGGCGAGGGGAGUGAAAAAGAACCUGAAACCGUGUACGUACAAGCAGUGGGAGCACCUUCGGGUGUGACUGCGUACCUUUUGUAUAAUGGGUCAGCGACUUAUAUUCUGUAGCAAGGUUAACCGUAUAGGGGAGCCGCAGGGAAACCGAGUCUUAACUGGGCGUUAAGUUGCAGGGUAUAGACCCGAAACCCGGUGAUCUAGCCAUGGGCAGGUUGAAGGUUGGGUAACACUAACUGGAGGACCGAACCGACUAAUGUUGAAAAAUUAGCGGAUGACUUGUGGCUGGGGGUGAAAGGCCAAUCAAACCGGGAGAUAGCUGGUUCUCCCCGAAAGCUAUUUAGGUAGCGCCUCGUGAAUUCAUCUUCGGGGGUAGAGCACUGUUUCGGCUAGGGGGUCAUCCCGACUUACCAACCCGAUGCAAACUACGAAUACCGAAGAAUGUUAUCACGGGAGACACACGGCGGGUGCUAACGUCCGUCGUGAAGAGGGAAACAACCCAGACCGCCAGCUAAGGUCCCAAAGUCAUGGUUAAGUGGGAAACGAUGUGGGAAGGCACAGACAGCCAGGAUGUUGGCUUAGAAGCAGCCAUCAUUUAAAGAAAGCGUAAUAGCUCACUGGUCGAGUCGGCCUGCGCGGAAGAUGUAACGGGGCUAAACCAUGCACCGAAGCUGCGGCAGCGACACUAUGUGUUGUUGGGUAGGGGAGCGUUCUGUAAGCCUGCGAAGGUGACCUGUGAGGGUUGCUGGAGGUAUCAGAAGUGCGAAUGCUGACAUAAGUAACGAUAAAGCGGGUGAAAAGCCCGCUCGCCGGAAGACCAAGGGUUCCUGUCCAACGUUAAUCGGGGCAGGGUGAGUCGACCCCUAAGGCGAGGCCGAAAGGCGUAGUCGAUGGGAAACAGGUUAAUAUUCCUGUACUUGGUGUUACUGCGAAGGGGGGACGGAGAAGGCUAUGUUAGCCGGGCGACGGUUGUCCCGGUUUAAGCAUGUAGGCUGAUUGUCCAGGCAAAUCCGGAUAAUCAAGGCUGAGGUGUGAUGACGAGGCACUACGGUGCUGAAGUAACAAAUGCCCUGCUUCCAGGAAAAGCCUCUAAGCAUCAGGUAACAUCAAAUCGUACCCCAAACCGACACAGGUGGUCAGGUAGAGAAUACCAAGGCGCUUGAGAGAACUCGGGUGAAGGAACUAGGCAAAAUGGUGCCGUAACUUCGGGAGAAGGCACGCUGGUGUGUAGGUGAAGCCCCUGCGGGUGGAGCUGAGACCAGUCGAAGAUACCAGCUGGCUGCAACUGUUUAUUAAAAACACAGCACUGUGCAAACACGAAAGUGGACGUAUACGGUGUGACGCCUGCCCGGUGCCGGAAGGUUAAUUGAUGGGGUUAUCCGUAAGGAGAAGCUCUUGAUCGAAGCCCCGGUAAACGGCGGCCGUAACUAUAACGGUCCUAAGGUAGCGAAAUUCCUUGUCGGGUAAGUUCCGACCUGCACGAAUGGCGUAAUGAUGGCCAGGCUGUCUCCACCCGAGACUCAGUGAAAUUGAACUCGCUGUGAAGAUGCAGUGUACCCGCGGCAAGACGGAAAGACCCCGUGAACCUUUACUAUAGCUUGACACUGAACAUUGAGCCUUGAUGUGUAGGAUAGGUGGGAGGCUUUGAAGCGUGGACGCCAGUCUGCGUGGAGCCAACCUUGAAAUACCACCCUUUAAUGUUUGAUGUUCUAACGUUGGCCCCUUACCGGGGUUGCGGACAGUGUCUGGUGGGUAGUUUGACUGGGGCGGUCUCCUCCCAAAGCGUAACGGAGGAGCACGAAGGUUAGCUAAUCCUGGUCGGACAUCAGGAGGUUAGUGCAAUGGCAUAAGCUAGCUUGACUGCGAGCGUGACGGCGCGAGCAGGUGCGAAAGCAGGUCAUAGUGAUCCGGUGGUUCUGAAUGGAAGGGCCAUCGCUCAACGGAUAAAAGGUACUCCGGGGAUAACAGGCUGAUACCGCCCAAGAGUUCAUAUCGACGGCGGUGUUUGGCACCUCGAUGUCGGCUCAUCACAUCCUGGGGCUGAAGUAGGUCCCAAGGGUAUGGCUGUUCGCCAUUUAAAGUGGUACGCGAGCUGGGUUUAGAACGUCGUGAGACAGUUCGGUCCCUAUCUGCCGUGGGCGCUGGAGAAUUGAGGGGGGCUGCUCCUAGUACGAGAGGACCGGAGUGGACGCAUCACUGGUGUUCGGGUUGUCAUGCCAAUGGCACUGCCCGGUAGCUAAAUGCGGAAGAGAUAAGUGCUGAAAGCAUCUAAGCACGAAACUUGCCCCGAGAUGAGUUCUCCCUGAGACUUUAAGUCUCCUGAAGGAACGUUGAAGACGACGACGUUGAUAGGCCGGGUGUGUAAGCGCAGCGAUGCGUUGAGCUAACCGGUACUAAUGAACCGUGAGGCUUAACCUU